UGAUGACGAGACGCUAAGGCGUUGAAGCAGUGUAUGUCAGACUUCCAAGAAAAGCUCGCAAUGUCACAAAUAAAAAUGCCUGUACCAUAACCGACACAGGUGGGUAGGUAGAGUAUACUAAGGGGCGCGAGAUAACUCUCUCUAAGGAACUCGGCAAAAUGACUCCGUAACUUCGGGAGAAGGAGUGCCUUAUUUAUAAGGUUGCAAUAACAAGAUCCAAGCAACUGUUUAUCAAAAACACAGGUCUCCGCUAAGUCGUAAGACGAUGUAUGGGGGCUGACGCCUGCCCAGUGCCAGAAGGUUAAAGAAGUUGGUUAGUGUAUGCGAAGCUGAUGACUGAAGCCCUGGUGAACGGCGGCCGUAACUAUAACGGUCCUAAGGUAGCGAAAUUCCUUGUCGGGUAAGUUCCGACCCGCACGAAAGGCGUAAUGAUUUGGAUACUGUCUCGGAGAGAGGCUCGGUGAAAUAGACUUGUCUGUGAAGAUGCGGACUACCUGCACCAGGACAGAAAGACCCUAUGAAGCUUUACUGUAACUUGAAAUUGGAAUUGGACUUUGCUUGCGCAGUAUAGGUGGGAAGCGUUGAAAAUAUUCUUGCGGGAGUAUUGGAGCUAUCAGUGAGAUACCACUCUUGUAAUGUUAGAUUUCUAACUUUGAACCAUAAUCUGGUCAAAGAACAGUUUCAGGUGGGCAGUUUGACUGGGGCGGUCGCCUCCCAAAUGGUAACGGAGGCGUACAAAGGUUUCCUCUGAACGGAUAGAAAUCGUAUCUAGAGUGUAAAGGCAUAAGGAAGCUUGACUGUGAGACCUACAAGUCGAGCAGGGACGAAAGUCGGUCUUAGUGAUCUGACGGUACUGAGUGGAAAGGCCGUCACUCAACGGAUAAAAGUUACUCUAAGGAUAACAGGCUGAUCUCCCCCAAGAGUUCACAUCGACGGGGAGGUUUGGCACCUCGAUGUCGGCUCAUCGCAUCCUGGGGCGGUAGUACGUCCCAAGGGUUGGGCUGUUCGCCCAUGAAAGCGGUACGCGAGCUGGGUUCAGAACGUCGUGAGACAGUUCGGUCCAUAUCCGGUGUAGGCGCUAGAAUAUUGAGAGGAGCCUUCUUUAGUACGAGAGGACCGAGAAGGACACACCGCUGGUGUACCAGUUAUCGUGCCAACGGUAAACGCUGGGUAGCUAUGUGUGGAGUGGAUAACCGCUGAAAGCAUCUAAGUGGGAAGCCCACCUCGAGAUGAGUAUUCGC
rnacentral:rRNA from 1 species